GCUGAGUGUGGUGGCACUGGCCUGCAGUCCCAGCUACUCAGGAGGGGAGGCUGAGACUGGAGGAUCACUUGAGCCCAGAGUUCUGGGCUGCAGUGCACUAUGCCGGAUGUCUGCACUGAAUCUGGCAUUGAUAUGGUAACCUCCCAGGAGCAAGGGACAGCCAGGAUUCCUAAGAAGAGGUGGACUAGCCCAGGCUGGGAACGAAACAGGUCGAAGCUCCCGUUAUGAUCAGUAGUGGGAUCAUGCCUGUGAAUAGCCACUGAACUCCAGCCUGGACAACAUAGCCAGACCCCAUCUCUU
rnacentral:SRP_RNA from 1 species